UGUUAAACAUUUCAUCCAUUUCUACUAUUAAAAACUGGCAUGGCUAACAGAAUAACCAAAUAGUGACAUGUCGUUGACAUACAAAAACCAGUUUUUAAUAGUAAAAUGGAUAGAAUUUUCAACA
rfam:Gossypium raimondii Chr04_contig_31, whole genome shotgun sequence.